UGGCACAUGGAUAAUGGGCGGGUUCCUUACUGCACAUCGCACUUAAGAGGACUCUUAAACCAACAUGAUCGUUUGUGGCUCGUCAGGGACACAGCCAGGAGCUGUUGCCCACCCGUAGAGAUGUACUCCCCAGAGAAAGUUCAGGAAGAAAAUAUGGGGGAAUGCAACCUUGUCUUCGCGAGGAAGGAGAGCAAUCCGUGCAAGUCUUUGUAGCUAGCACUGCUUUAACCACAAACGGCGAGAGACCUUCCGAUCACGGUGGCCUCACAUCUAUGAAGACGAAGAAAACGAACUAAAACGUGAAAGGAAGGGAAAUUUAAAAGUUAAUUAAUGGAAAUAACAUUUUAAAAUGAUUUACGACCGCAAAAAGUUCAGAAAAAUCCAUACAGCGCUUCGGAGAUCCGGCAUCUGUGGAGCAGAUUUCACGCAA